GUAUUGCUGAAGAGUCCCGAAGUAAGACGAAACAGCUGUCUAGUAC
rnacentral:hammerhead_ribozyme from 1 species